GACGAACGCUGGCGGCGUGCUUAACACAUGCAAGUCGAACGAGUGGCGAACGGGUGAGUAAUACGUGAGUAACCUGCCCUCUUUUUGGGAUAAGCCUUGGAAACGGGGUCUAAUACCGGAUAAAGGGGGAUGGGCUCGCGGCCUAUCAGCUUGUUGGUGGGGUGAUGGCCUACCAAGGGGGUGACGGGUAGCCGGCCUGAGAUGGUGACCGGCCACAUGGGGGCUGAGAUACGCCCCAGACGCCUGCGGGAGGCAGCAGUGUGGGAGAUUGCACAAGUGGCGAAAGCCUGAUGCAGCGACUCCGCGUGGUGGAUGAAGGCGUUCGGGUUGUAAACCUCUUUCGCUAUCGAAAGGGUAGGUGGGGAAUAAGCGCCGGCUAACUACGUGCCAGCAGCCGCGGUAAUUC
rnacentral:rRNA from 1 species